rnacentral:rRNA from 1 species
UACGUAGGGCGCAAGCGUUGUCCGGAAUUAUUGGGCGUAAAGAGCUCGUAGGUGGCUUGUCGCGUCGGGUGUGAAAGCUUGGGGCUUAACUCCAGGUCUGCAUUCGAUACGGGCUGGCUAGAGGUAGGUAGGGGAGAACGGAAUUCCUGGUGUAGCGGUGAAAUGCGUAGAUAUCCGGAGGAACACCAGUGGCGAAGGCGGCCGCCUGGACCUGACCUGACGCUGAGGCGCGAAGGCGUGGGGAGCGAACGGG